rnacentral:rRNA from 1 species
GACGAACGCUGGCGGCGUGCCUAACACAUGCAAGUCGAACGGGCGAAGGGAGCUUGCUCCCUGAGUUAGUGGCGAACGGGUGAGUAACGCGUGAGUAACCUGCCUUUCAGUGGGGAACAACAGUUAGAAAUGACUGCUAAUACCGCAUAUGCCUAAGUACCACAUGGUACAAUAGGGAAAGGAGCAAUCCGCUGAUAGAUGGGCUUGCGUCUGAUUAGAUAGUUGGUGGGGUAACGGCCUACCAAGUCGACGAUCAGUAGCCGGACUGAGAGGUUGAACGGCCACAUUGGGACUGAGAUACGGCCCAG